UACGUAGGUGGCAAGCGUUACUCGGAAUCACUAGGCGUAAAGCGCAGGUAGGCGGUUUGAUAAGUCUGUUGUGAAAGCUCCCGGCUUAACUGGGAGAGGUCAUCGGAAACUGUCAAGCUAGAGUGUGGUAGAGGUAGCUGGAAUUCCCGGUGUAGCGGUGAAAUGCGUAGAUAUCGGGAGGAAUACCUAUGGCGAAAGCAGGCUACUGGACCAUCACUGACGCUGAUCUGCGAAAGCUAGGGGAGCAAACAGG
rnacentral:rRNA from 1 species